CAGAUGGAAAAGACAGGAGACAUUCGUUAGAUUGCUUUGCAAUACCACCUUUGGCUUUUGCAAAGAGAAAAAUGACAGACAUCAGAAGUAGCUUUGCAUUAAGAAGGUUGGACGCAAACCAACGGAUUCAAACUGCAAGACAAAUGAUUUGGAAUAAAUAUUGCGAAGAACCCCUUUGAUGGAACAGUGGAACAGAAGGCUUCUGAAGCUCAGCUCCAAGCCAACAGCAUUCAAGGCUUUGCCUGUCAAGGUCUACUGUAAUACCAGAACAGAUCAACUUCCUGCCAGACAACGCUUGGAGCCUGGAGGCUGGAUAGGUGGCUGUUCCCCAUUCUGUUCCUUUAUUGUUUCAGAAUUUUGAUCUAACUGCAUUCUGUUACUCUGCUAAUCCUUAAUUCUCUUUUAAGUAGAAUAAUACUUUUCACCAUCAGAUAAUUUGCACCUUUAUCUUUGUACAGUACUAAUGUGCACAAACAUAUUGAGAAAAACACAGCAAAAAAUGCAGUUGGUCUAAUUAUACAUAAAAUGAUUGCACUGAGAUUCUUUGGUGUUGUGUUUUACAAAAAACCUACAGUGUGCACACAUCAAUGUAUAGAAGGGCUAAAUAUGUGAGGGGUCAUGCUGAGCCCCAAAAUUCUCCUUGUAUCUGCAGUAGCUUUUUAAAAAAAUAAAAAUAAAAAUAUUCCAGUCUGUUUCUGAGUCCAUCUAUGCUCCCUCCACUUUGAUCUAUAAUUCAGAUUCUGAGCUGUUCUAUGUAAAAUAAAGCUGUGUUUCCCAUUCACCAUAAUGGGGAAUCUAAAAAAUGACUAUAAUUCCUCCCCCCACUUUUGGCCAAAGUGAAUGAAAAGAAUAGGCACAGGAGGUCCUUCAGAGUAGA